rfam:Ictidomys tridecemlineatus contig122128, whole genome shotgun sequence.
GGUGGUAUAGCUCAGUUGGUAAAGUGCUUUCCUAUCAUACGCCUGGGUUCAAUCCCCAGUGCCACCA